GUAUUUUUUCAAUGAUGUAUAUAUUCGGUAUUGAAAUAAUUUAAUGAUAUUAAAAAAAUAUUUUCGUCACUACCACUGAGAAAAUAUUUGC